AUUUUUUUUGCUGACACUUUACAUUCCUUAAUGUUAGAAAUCCCCUUCCCCUCUCAAAAGAAAAUGGAAAGAAAGUGGCAGUCUUUUAGGGUUCAGAUUAUAACCUGAAGUACAAUCUUAAGAAUAUAUAUUCUAAAGCAGGCCUUUCAAAAAUUGUUAACAUUGAUACUAUAUUAGACACUAAAAAAAACAUUUUAGUUGUAGAGAAGAAAUAUUAAAACUUUGUCUUAUUUUUUAGAAGAUGUCUUUAAAAAUGCAUUCUUUUUUUUUUUGUAAUCCCUAUUUGAAAAUUAUUUAAAUAUAUUAAUUUUAUAAAAGUUAGAGUGGAAUAAGGAACGUGGUUAUCCCAAAUAAUUUCUUGAACAACUAUAAUCUAUCUAGUUUUUGUAUUUUGAUUUAAAAUAAAUCCUCCUAGUCAAGAUGGCAGCAUAGUUAAAAUACAGAAUAAUCAUCAUACAGAACCACCUGAAAUCUAGCUGAGAGAAGUACUACAACUACGGAAUUAAAGAAGAAGCCCAUGAAGACUGCUGGGAGAGGUAGCCACCUGGAGCAGAAUCACAGCACUGGCUGGUCCCAUACCCACGUGUAGUUUAAAAUCAGGAGGGAUAUCUUGGCACAGCUGCUCUUCCACUGUAGUAGCAGCUACAGCUCAGGUCCUCCCAAGUGAUGGCCUGAGGCUCAACCCCUCUGAGUGACACCAACAUAAAUCAAGGCUCAACUACAAUAGGACAGUGCACAGAGCUCAGAUGGACACACCUAAAGUGCCCAGCUAAGAAGACUGCAGAGGCCGAGCCAUUGUGCCUUAUAGGGCACCACUACCCAAGGCAACUCUAUCAAGUGUGGCAGACAUAGCAUAUCUAAUACAUAGAAACAAACACAGGGAAGCAACCAAAAUGCAGAGACAAAGAACAGAAGAAAUCUCCUGAAAAAGAACUAAAUGAUGGAAGCAAGAAAACUAUUAGGUACAGAGUUCAAAACACUGGUUAUAAGAUGCUCAAGGAACUUUCUGAGAAAUUUAAGGAACUUAGAACAACAAUGUAAAAAAAGGAUCAGUUAGGAAUGAAGGAUACACUAAAAUAAAAAAUAAUUUACAGAGGAUCAACAGUAGAGUAAGCCUACUGAGAAUCAAAAUUAAGAAUUUGGAACAUAAGGAAACAACAUUCAAUCAGAACAGAAAAAAGAAAAUGUAAGGAGCCCCUGGGAUAACUUCAAGCAUAUCAACAUUUGUAUCAAGGGGUGCUGGAAGAAGAGCAGGAUUAGGAAAUUGAAAAAGUAAUGACAGAAAACUUCCCUUACCUGGUGAAAGAAAUAGACAUACAAAUUCCAGGAAGCAUAGAGUUCUAAACAAGAUGAACCCAAAGAGGUUCACCCUAAGACACAUCAUAAUUAAAAUGCCAAAGGUUAAA